GGGAGUGUAACUCAACUGGAUAGAGUACCAAUCUUCUAAAUUGGCUGCUGUAGGUUCAAGUCCUACCACUCCUG
rfam:Microcoleus sp. PCC 7113, complete genome.